GGUGAAGGAGGUGAGGAGAGGCGAGGGUGAGGAUCACAGUUACCCAGCUGGCGUGUGGAGCAUCACGGAGCUCUCAUCAUCCUGUUGCCUCUUCCUCCUCUUCCAGGAAUGCCCUCCUAGGUUUGGACAGUCUUCCAAGAACAACAGAAAAUGAGCAAAUGCCAGAAGUGUGCUGGCCAAGGACCCAUGUCAUUCAAGGACAUGACUGUGGACUUCACCCGGGAUGAGUGCUGACAACUGACGGGUAUCAGAGGAUGCUAUACUGGGAUGUGAUGCUGGAGAGCUACAGCCACUUAGUCUCUGUGGGGUACUGCACUGCCAAACCAGAGGUGAUCAUCAAGCUGGAGCAAGGAGAAGAGCUGUGGCCAUUAGAAUUCCCAGGCUGGAGUGGUCCCG
ensembl:lncRNA